rfam:Nosema ceranae BRL01 Nc000844, whole genome shotgun sequence.
GGUCGAAUGGCCGAGUGGUCUAAGGCGGUGUCUUCAGGCGGCAUUCUUCCGGGGCGCGGGUUCGAAUCCCGCUUCGACCA